CGAAUUUUAUUUAUAUGUAUAAACUUUAACAGGGGCCUAAGAUACCAUUUUCAAUUAUUAUAAUUAAAAGAGUUCGAUCAUACAAUCUGUUUCGUUUCGUUUCGGUAGGUUUCGUUUCGUUUCGGUGGGUUUCGUUUCGUUUCGGUAGAUUUCGUUUCGAUUUCGUUUCGCACUUUACAGAUACCCUUGAUUUUAUGUGCCAAAAUCUCACUCCGAUUCGGAUGUAUUUUAUAGCCAGAUCAGAAAUUCCUUUGCACACAUUGCGAGCACCAUAUUUUGGAUUUAUUUUCAAUGGGAUUUUACUUCGUGUGCGGCUAUUUUAUUUAACAGUUUAAUAUAAUAAUUUAUACAUGUAUAAAUAGUUACUUAACAUUCUUUUACAGUAAGAUUUAUGACAUUGGGUCUAUAUGGAGAAUAAUUUACAAUCACUGGACAAUUUACUUAACAUUUAACUUGUUUAUCUUUUUUAAAUUCUGCCCUCAGUACUUGUAAAUUUGUGCUUCAUUAGAAAAAAAUCACACACACACCCCAAACUUUUACAACACCGUAAAAAUUGGUUUAUUUAACUUUUUUAUUUUUAUUUUUUUUAUUUAUUAUUUUUUUAUUUCACAAACAUUGACAUAAGACAGAAGAACAUUUACCAUUUUUUUCUAACCACUUUCACACACUUUCAUACUCACACUCAUACAUUUGUUAGUAAGUGCUUGCAUUUUUAAUAUAAUUGUAAGAGAAAAAUGAUAACAAUACAGAGCUUGAGUAAAUAGAUAAAAGUACACGUGGCUUCAAAAGUAGGGGGGAAAAAACAUUGCUUGAAAUAGUAAAAUUAUGAUUUUUUUAAGUUGUCAAAAAGUGUUUUCCAUACAUGCCAGGUAUUUUCAAAUUUUUGUAUUUCUAAAUUCUGAUAUUUGGUUUAUUUAACUUAAUAUAUGAACUUGUAAUUCUAAAAUUGCUCCACCAGUUAUUCAUACAAACAUACAUGUAAAGAUCUACCUCAUACUCAUGCUAGUGGUGGUCUGAUAAUGCAACUUUAAAUAUAUAAAGUUGGAUCUAUUCAUCUUCAAUUUAUUUACUUAUAUAUUUAGAGAAACAUUUUUUGAUCAGAAGAACUUGAUGUGACUACUGAGUAUUUCAUAGUUAAAUUUCAUUUAUAAACAAAUUAAAUAAUGUAAAUACUCUAUCACGAACACCUGUACUAAAUGUACAUGUAUGUAGCUACACCUAACAUUUGUAAUGCGGUCGUCUAUAUACUCUCCCGGAAAACUGCAGAUUUAAGAAAGUGGUGAUCGAAAUGGUUUUUUAAAUAAAUUUAUUGAGUUUGCCUCAAUGAUUUCUUCAUGCAUAUAAUUUUUAUUUAGUAUACUCUAUAAGAGUAGGGUAUGAAUGUGAUUAUCACGUACUACAAUGUAACACUAAUGUUAUGUAAAAAUUGAUCAGAAAUAUUCUAUACCUGAAGGUAAUUGUUUACUCUUUUAAAAAUUAAUGUCAUUGAAAUGAAUAAUCAUAAAUUUAUCUAAGGUAAUCUACAAAUUAUCAUCGAACAUCGUUUCUAUAACACUGCUGAUUUUCAAAGUUAAAUUUUAUACAGAGUCUGAUUCUAUCCCCUGACUGAAACUAACAAUUUAUAAACUUUUAUUUGUUGAUUGAUUAUUGUUUGCAAAUGUAACAAGAGGUGAUUAUAUGUAAAAUGAAGUGAGUCUGUGCUAAUUCUUUAAAUAUGAUAGGGACAGGGGACCUGGGAAGAACUUUUCUUCGAGAAUAGUAACGAAGUUUGACAGUUGGGGAAGAUUUGGAACUCCAUAUUCGCCAAAUUUCUGGGAAGGGGCCUCCACUCUGCAGACGGUCAGACGUGGGAAUGAUGGAUUUAAUAAUUUCAAUACUGGAGGAAAACCGUAUAAUCUACAGUUCUGCAGCUAACUGCACACCAGCUUAUGACAAGGGUGAACUAUCUACUUUCUCGUGGGAUUUUGUAUAUCACACUUUACAACCUCAUGAAAGAUUUCAAAUAAGAAGACCCAAAGUAAGAUCUCAGCCUUUAAAUACUGAG